GACGAACGCUGGCGGCGUGCCUAAUACAUGCAAGUCGAACGCUUCUUUUCCACCGGAGCUUGCUCCACCGGAAAAAGAGGAGUGGCGAACGGGUGAGUACACGUGGGUAACCUGCCCAUCAGAAGGGGAUAACACUUGGAAACAGGUGCUAAUACCGUAUAACAAUCAAAACCGCAUGGUUUUGAUUUGAAAGGCGCUUUCGGGUGUCGCUGAUGGAUGGACCCGCGGUGCAUUAGCUAGUUGGUGAGGUAACGGCUCACCAAGGCCACGAUGCAUAGCCGACCUGAGAGGGUGAUCGGCCACAUUGGGACUGAGACACGGCCCAAACUCCUACGGGAGGCAGCAGUAGGGAAUCUUCGGCAAUGGACGAAAGUCUGACCGAGCAACGCCGCGUGAGUGAAGAAGGUUUUCGGAUCGUAAAACUCUGUUGUUAGAGAAGAACAAGGAUGAGAGUAACUGUUCAUCCCUUGACGGUAUCUAACCAGAAAGCCACGGCUAACUACGUGCCAGCAGCCGCGGUAAUACGUAGGUGGCAAGCGUUGUCCGGAUUUAUUGGGCGUAAAGCGAGCGCAGGCGGUUUCUUAAGUCUGAUGUGAAAGCCCCCGGCUCAACCGGGGAGGGUCAUUGGAAACUGGGAGACUUGAGUGCAGAAGAGGAGAGUGGAAUUCCAUGUGUAGCGGUGAAAUGCGUAGAUAUAUGGAGGAACACCAGUGGCGAAGGCGGCUCUCUGGUCUGUAACUGACGCUGAGGCUCGAAAGCGUGGGGAGCAAACAGG
rnacentral:rRNA from 1 species